rnacentral:tRNA from 1 species
GGGCGUGUGGCCUAGCUAGGAUAUGGCGGCAGCCUCCUAACAAAUUUGUCGCAUAAAUAAGUUCGAUCAAAAAAAAGGGAGAAAGCUGCAAAUCACGGGUUCAAAUCCCGUCACGCCCG